rnacentral:lncRNA from 1 species
UUUUCCUUGUCUGUGAUUGUUGCAUUCAUGCAUACAUGCGCAUCAUAACAUUCAUUACAUAUAAUAAAUUUCAAGGAACUAAGGUCGUAUUUGAAAAUAUUUUCAGACCAUGGAUUAUGGAUGAAGGAACACUUAGAAGUAUAGUUUCAGAUGUACGAACUUGAAAGAGUUAAGGAAGCUAUCAUCCUUUGUAGGUGAAUCUGUGGAUUCCGAGGAUGUCAUAGGAAGGUUUUAUAUGUAUUGUCUGCUGAUAUGGUUGAAGGACUUCUGAG